rnacentral:rRNA from 1 species
CCUACGGGCGGCUGCAGUGAGGAAUAUUGGUCAAUGGCCGGAAGGCUGAACCAGCCAAGCCGCGUGAAGGACGAAGGUGCCAAGCAUUGUAAACUUCUUUUGUCAAGGGACAAAAUCAGGCUCGAGAGCCUGACCGAGGGUACUUGAAGAAAAAGCAUCGGCUAACUCCGUGCCAGCAGCCACGGUAAUACGGAGGAUGCGAGCGUUAUCCGGAUUUAUUGGGUUUAAAGGGGGCGUAGGCGGGGUGUUAAGUCAGCUGGUAAAGCCCGGGGCUCAACCCCGGGCGAGCGGUUGAUACUGGCUGUCUUGAGAUGUGGAGAGGUAGGCGGAAUGCGCAGUGUAGCGGUGAAAUGCUUAGAUAUUGUGCAGAACUCCGAUUGCGAAGGCAGCAUACCGGCGGCGAUCUGACGCUGAGGCACGAAAGCGUGGGUAUCGAACAGGAUUAGAUACCCGGGUAGUC